ACUAAGGUCCCGCCAUACGAUGCGCAAUAAUUGCAACCAACUUCCGCGAACUAAUACCUAACGGGGAGGAGAGUGGUAAAAAAAACGUGUGGGGGGGUAGUUUUUAGUACGUAUGUGCAAUGGGUGGCGAAUCGUGCAUGCUGCUCCUAAGAACCAGCAGUAUCUUUUGAAGAUUUUCUACUUCCAGCUCGC
rfam:Glossina fuscipes fuscipes unplaced genomic scaffold Scaffold172, whole genome shotgun sequence.